CAAUAGCGUAUAUUAAAGUUGUUGCAGUUAAAAAGCUCGUAGUUGGAUUUCUGGUGGGAGCGAUCGGUCUGGCGCUUAGCGCGAGUACUUGCAUCGUCUCCGGCCAUCCUUGGGGAGAGUCUGUCUGGCAUUAAGUUGUCGGGCAGAGGAUCCUCAUCGUUUACUGUGAAAAAAUUGGAGUGUUCAAAGCAGGCUUAUGCCGUUGAAUAUAUUAGCCUGGAAUAAUAAGAUAGGACUUUGGUACUAUUUUGUUGGUUUGCGCACCAAAGUAAUGAUUAAUAGGGACAGUUGGGGGUAUUCGUAUUCCGUUGUCAGAGGUGAAAUUCUUGGAUUUACGGAAGACGAACUACUGCGAAAGCAUUUACCAAGGAUGUUUUCAUUAA
rnacentral:rRNA from 1 species